rnacentral:rRNA from 1 species
CCUACGGGGGGCUGCAGUGGGGAAUAUUGGACAAUGGGGGGAACCCUGAUCCAGCCAUGCCGCGCGUGUGAAGAAGGCCCUCGGGUUGUAAAGCACUUUCAGUGAGGAAGAACGCCUGGUGGUUAAUACCCAUCAGGAAAGACAUCACUCACAGAAGAAGCACCGGCUAACUCCGUGCCAGCAGCCGCGGUAAUACGGAGGGUGCGAGCGUUAAUCGGAAUUACUGGGCGUAAAGCGCGCGUAGGUGGCUUGAUAAGCCGGUUGUGAAAGCCCCGGGCUCAACCUGGGAACGGCAUCCGGAACUGUCAAGCUAGAGUGCAGGAGAGGAAGGUAGAAUUCCCGGUGUAGCGGUGAAAUGCGUAGAGAUCGGGAGGAAUACCAGUGGCGAAGGCGGCCUUCUGGACUGACACUGACACUGAGGUGCGAAAGCGUGGGUAGCAAACAGGAUUAGAUACCCGUGUAGUC